GGUCGCGUGGCCCAAUGGCAAGGCGCUUGACUACGAAUCAAGAGAUUGUCGGUUCGAAUCCGGCCGCGAUCA